GACGAACGCUGGCGGCGUGCUUAACACAUGCAAGUCGAACGCUGAAGCUCAGCUUGCUGGGUGGAUGAGUGGCGAACGGGUGAGUAACACGUGAGUAACCUGCCCUCUUCUUUGGGAUAACGCCCGGAAACGGGUGCUAAUACUGGAUAUUCACUGAUUCUCGCAUGGGGGUUGGUGGAAAGGUUUUUUCUGGUGGGGGAUGGGCUCGCGGCCUAUCAGCUUGUUGGUGGGGUGAUGGCCUACCAAGGCUUUGACGGGUAGCCGGCCUGAGAGGGUGACCGGUCACAUUGGGACUGAGAUACGGCCCAGACUCCUACGGGAGGCAGCAGUGGGGAAUAUUGCACAAUGGGCGAAAGCCUGAUGCAGCGACGCCGCGUGAGGGAUGGAGGCCUUCGGGUUGUAAACCUCUUUCGCUCAUGGUCAAGCCGCAGCUUUGGGUUGUGGUGAGGGUAGUAGGUAAAGAAGCGCCGGCUAACUACGUG
rnacentral:rRNA from 1 species